rnacentral:rRNA from 1 species
AUUGAACGCUGGCGGCGUGCUUAACACAUGCAAGUCGAUCGGUAACGCGGGGGCAACCCUGGCGACGAGAGGCGGACGGGUGAGGAACGCUUGGGAAUCUGCCCUUCAGCGGGGGACAACACGGGGAAACUCGUGCUAAUACCGCAUACGCUCCACGGAGGAAAGCCGGGGACCGCAAGGCCUGGCACUGAAGGAUGAGCCCAAGUCGGAUUAGCUAGUUGGCGGGGUAACGGCCCACCAAGGCGACGAUCCGUAGCUGGUCUGAGAGGACGAUAAGACACACUGGGACUGGGACACGGCCCCGACUCCUACGGGAGGCAGCAGUGGGGAAUAUUGGAUAAUGGGGGAAACCCUGAUCCAGCGACGCCGCGUGGGUGAAGAAGGUUUUCGGACCGUAAAGCUCUGUCGAGCAGGAAGAAAUGCAUGGUGGCUAAUAUCCAUCUUGCUUGACGGUACCGCUAAAGGAAGCACCGGCUAACUCCGUGCCAGCCGCCGCCGUAACAC